rnacentral:misc_RNA from 1 species
UACCAAUAAUUUCAUUUUCUCAAUAAAUUAAAUUAAUAUGAAUUUAGUUGUUCAUUGAUUAUUGUUAAUGAUGAGACUCAAGUUGGUUAAGGGUGCCGCCCAUUAGUCAAUUAAACUCUCUAGGCAAUAAUUGAUGGAAAUUAAGAUCCAUAUUAAUUUAAUUUACCAAUCAAAUUAUUGAAUUUUAUUUUUUAUUACUAAUAGAAUCCCUUUCCGUUUUCUUUUAAAUCAAAUUAAUAUGGAUUUUAAUUGUUUAUCGACUAUAGUUAAUAAUGAGACUCAAGGUUGGUUAAGGGGGCCACCCAUUAUAGUCGUUUUUGCUUUUUGCGAAUUUUCAGGUGAAUUCAGAGUUUCCUUUUUUACUUUCUUUUUGCUACUGCUACUGCUGUUUCUUCUUCUAGCCCUUUUGGCCUCCUUGUCCUGAUGUAGCACCAUGCUUUUUUAUUCUAGACCUUGUAUAUUCUCUGCCCAUUUUGUCAAAA